UACGUAGGGGGCGAGCGUUGUCCGGAUUUAUGGGCGUAAAGAGCGUGUAGGCGGCCAGGUAGGUCUGCUGUGAAAACUCGAGGCUCAACCUCGAGACGUCGGCGGAAACCAUCUGGCUAGAGUCCGGAAGAGGAGAGUGGAAUUCCUGGUGUAGCGGUGAAAUGCGCAGAUAUCAGGAAGAACACCCGUGGCGAAGGCGGCUCUCUGGGACGGUACUGACGCUGAGACGCGAAAGCGUGGGGAGCGAACAGG
rnacentral:rRNA from 1 species